UGCUCUUGUGCCAUUGUUCUGAGCUGAAGGAGCCUGUAUUCCUUGGCCUCUGGGACCAGCUCGUAGAACUCCUGCUAGGGGGAGGACUGUCAGGUUUGGGGUGUUUGCAGAAAGUCUUCUCUACUCAAGGGGUGUUGAAUGUUAUGGAGAUGGCUGUGCUGUGUUUUAUGUUGUGCAAGACCUUGCUCUGUUUUGUGUCCAUGGAGUGAGAAAGCCCCGAGACAAGAAAUCUGAAUGAAGACUCCUCUGGGGAGGGAAGAGGCUCGUGGCUCUCAGAUGUGGCAACCACCUCCUUCAUAUGACUUAAGGAACAUUUCUCAGAAAACCUUGUCUGUAAUGAAGCCACUGGUGUUACUACCUGCAGUAUACCAAGAAAGGGAAGGAGUUUCUGGAACAGUGCUG